rnacentral:rRNA from 1 species
AGGGCACCACCAGGAGUGGAGCCUGCGGCUUAAUUUGACUCAACACGGGAAAACUCACCCGGCCCGGACACUGGAAGGAUUGACAGAUUGAGAGCUCUUUCUUGAUUCAGUGGGUGGUGGUGCAUGGCCGUUCUUAGUUGGUGGAGUGAUUUGUCUGGUUAAUUCCGAUAACGAACGAGACUCUAGCCUACUAAAUAGAUCGUCGGCUUACAAACGCCGGCGAGACUUCUUAGAGGGACAGGCGGUGAUUCAACCGCACGAAACAGAGCAAUAACAGGUCUGUGAUGCCCUUAGAUGUCCGGGGCCGCACGCGCGCUACACUGAAGUGAUCAGCGUGCUUUUUCAACCUACUCUGUCAAGAGUGGGGAACCCAAUGAACCUUCUUCGUGAUUGGGAUAGGGGAUUGUAAUUAUUCCCCUUGAACGAGGAAUUCCCAGUAAGCGCGAGUCAUAAGCUCGCGUUGAUUACGUCCCUGCCCUUUUGUACACACCGCCCGUCGCUACUACCGAUUGAAUGUUU